rnacentral:lncRNA from 1 species
GCAGGUAUCAACACAAAGUGAAUCUAUUUUAUAAAACAUUUCAAAUACGUUAGAAGAAAUGUGGAAAAUAUUUUAAUAAACUUGGUAAGAGGGAACUCUGCCUGAGGAAUAAUCAGAAGCCAUGAAGAAUACUAUGUCAUUAAGCUGAAAAACAGAAUGCAGGCUACAAAACGAAUAUGAAGAGGGCCAUCUUCCCCAACAUCUUGGAAUGAAUUCAGUUCAUGAACCAAGGUACUACUGUGUAGUGCUGCA